ACAGGUGGUGCAUGGUUGUCGUCAGCUCGUGUCGUGARAUGUUGGGUUAAGUCCCGCAACGAGCGCAACCCUUAUCUUUAGUAGCCAGCAUUUAAGGUGGGCACUCUAGRGAGACUGCCAGGGAUAACCUGGAGGAAGGUGGGGAUGACGUCAAAUCAUCAUGCCCCUUAUGAHCAGGGCUACACACGUGCUACAAUGGCGUAAACAAAGGGAAGCGAAACCGUGAVSUGGAGCAAAUCYCAAAAAUAACGUCUCAGUUCGGAUUGUAGUCUGCAACUCGACUACAUGAAGCUGGAAUCGCUAGUAAUCGCGAAUCAGAAUGUCGCGGGGAAUACGUUCCCGGGUCUUGUACAC
rnacentral:rRNA from 1 species